UGAGAUCGCGGAGAUGGCAUUCUCCCUCAACCGUCGCGCUUCCCCUGUGCGGCUAAUGAUGCCUACGGACCC
rnacentral:ncRNA from 1 species